CUUCGAUCUACCGAAUUCGUCGACAUGAACACUUCGCUCGUGAUGCACGCCGCUCUGUUGGUUGUGGUGAUGCUGGCGGUGGUGUCGAUGGUGAUAGCCAGCCCUGAGCCUGGGUAUGGUAGGGGUCAUGGUGGCUAUGGCUAUGGCGGCCACGGCGGAGGACACGGUGGAUAUGGCUAUGGUGGAUAUGGUGGCUACGGCCAUGGCGGAGGACACGGCGGUCACGGAUAUGGAUAUGGUCGAUGAAACUGACUGGAUGAAACCAUCGGGGUUUGAAUAAAAAUUCAAAAUGA
rnacentral:lncRNA from 1 species